AUUGAACGCUGGCGGCAGGCCUAACACAUGCAAGUCGAGCGGCGCCGCGGACGGGUGAGUAAUGCUUAGGAAUCUUCCUGGUAGUGGGGGAUAACGACCGGAAAUGGGCGCUAAUUCCGCUUACUAUCAGUCUAGACUAGGCCGGGGUAGCGAGUUGGUGGGGUAAAGGCCUACCAAGGCGACGAUCCGUAACUGGUCUGAGAGGAUGAUCAGUCACUAUGGAACUGAGACACGGUCCAGACUCCUACGGGAGGCAGCAGUGGGGAAUAUUGGACAAUGGGCGAAAGCCUGAUCCAGCCAGGCCGCGUGUGUGAAGGAGGUCUUCGGAUUGUAAAGCACUUUAAGUUGGGAGGCGUUACCAACAGAAUAAGCACCGGCGAACUUCGUGCCAGCAGCCGCGGUAAUUC
rnacentral:rRNA from 1 species